rnacentral:rRNA from 1 species
GAUGAACGCUGGCGGCGCGCCUAACACAUGCAAGUCGAACGGCACCCACCCUCGGGUGGAAGCGAGUGGCGAACGGCUGAGUAACACGUGGAGAACCCGCCCCCUCCUCCGGGAUAGCCUCGGGAAACCGUGGGUAAUACCGGAUGACCCCGCAGGGCCGCAUGGCCCCGCGGGCAAAGCCCAGACGGGAGGGGAUGGCUCCGCGGCCCAUCAGGUAGACGGCGGGGUGACGGCCCACCGUGCCGACGACGGGUAGCCGGGUUGAGAGACCGACCGGCCAGAUUGGGACUGAGACACGGCCCAGACUCCUACGGGAGGCAGCAGUGGGGAAUCUUGCGCAAUGGGGGGAACCCUGACGCAGCGACGCCGCGUGCGGGACGAAGGCCCUCGGGUCGUAAACCGCUUUCAGCAGGGAU